UUUUUGUGCUAUUUUCACAUUUCCUGACCGGUGUGAGAAAAAUAUUUCUCCUCACUAGUGAAAAAUCUGUUCUCGGCAAAUGAUUGGUUAAAAUUUACCUAUGACGUUAAAUUUUCUUGUUUUCUUCUGAAUUUUCUUAUUGUAACGUCAUGAAAAAGGCGACCAUGCCUGAUGACGUCACAUCAAAAGUACACAACUUUCCUCAAAUCUUUAAAAAGGAAAAAUAAAAAUCAUAAGAGAAACAGAUUUCACCACUGUAACUCGUGUAUUACGAUAUUUCUCCACUCUCAACAGUUAAAUUUUGAUUAUUUAAAAAGCUCGAC
rnacentral:lncRNA from 1 species